rnacentral:rRNA from 1 species
GACGAACGCUGGCGGCGUGCUUAACACAUGCAAGUCGAACGGAAAGGCCCUGCUUUUGUGGGGUGCUCGAGUGGCGAACGGGUGAGUAACACGUGAGUAACCUGCCCUUGACUUUGGGAUAACUUCAGGAAACUGGGGCUAAUACCGGAUAGGAGCUCCUGCUGCAUGGUGGGGGUUGGAAAGUUUCGGCGGUUGGGGAUGGACUCGCGGCUUAUCAGCUUGUUGGUGGGGUAGUGGCUUACCAAGGCUUUGACGGGUAGCCGGCCUGAGAGGGUGACCGGCCACAUUGGGACUGAGAUACGGCCCAGACUCCUACGGGAGGCAGCAGUGGAGAAUAUUGCACAAUGGGCGGAAGCCUGAUGCAGCAACGCCGCGUGCGGGAUGACGGCCUUCGGGUUGUAAACCGCUUUCGCCUGUGACGAAGCGUGAGUGACGGUAAUGGGUAAAGAAGCACCGGCUAACUACGU